UACGUAGGGUGCGAGCGUUAAUCGGAAUUACUGGGCGUAAAGCGUGCGCAGGCGGUUUUGUAAGCCAGAUGUGAAAGCCCCGAGCUUAACCUGGGAAUGGCAUUUGGGACUGCAAGGCUUGAGUGCGGCAGAGGAGACUGGAAUUCCUGGUGUAGCAGUGAAAUGCGUAGAUAUCAGGAGGAAUACCGAUGGCGAAGGCAGGUCUCUGGGCUGACACUGAGACGCGAAAGCGUGGGGAGCGAACAGG
rnacentral:rRNA from 1 species